rnacentral:rRNA from 1 species
UACGUAGGGACCGAGCGUUGUCCGGAUUCAUUGGGCGUAAAGAGCUCGUAGGCGGCUGUUCAAGUCGAACGUGAAAACUCGGGGCUCAACUCCGAGCCUGCGUUCGAUACUGAAUGGCUAGAGUCUGGUAGGGGGGUCUGGAAUUCCUGGUGUAGCGGUGGAAUGCGCAGAUAUCAGGAGGAACACCAGUGGCGAAGGCGGCUCACUGGUCCAUUACUGACGCUGAGGUGCGAAAGCGUGGGGAGCAAACAGG